rnacentral:pre_miRNA from 1 species
GCGUUUAUCCGCGUGACUUUAAUUCGAACCGGAAAUAAGGCACGCGGUGAAUGCCA